UACAGAGGGGGCAAGCGUUGUUCGGAAUUACUGGGCGUAAAGGGCGCGUAGGCGGCCCGCUAAGUCGAACGUGAAAUCCCCAGGCUCAACCUGGGAACUGCGUCCGAUACUGGCAGGCUUGAAUCCGGGAGAGGGAUGUGGAAUUCCAGGUGUAGCGGUGAAAUGCGUAGAUAUCCGGAGGAACACCAGUGGCGAAAGCGGCCACCUGGACUGCACCUGACGCUGACACGCGAAAGCUAGGGGAGCGAACGGG
rnacentral:rRNA from 1 species